AUUGAACGCUGGCGGCAGGCCUAACACAUACAAGUCGAACGGUAGCACAGAGGAGCUUGCUCCUUGGGUGACGAGUGGCGGACGGGUGAGUAAUGUCUGGGAAACUGCCUGAUGGAGGGGGAUAACUACUGGAAACGGUAGCUAAUACCGCAUAACGUCGCAAGACCAAAGUGGGGGACCUUCGGGCCUCACACCAUCGGAUGUGCCCAGAUGGGAUUAGCUAGUAGGUGGGGUAAUGGCUCACCUAGGCGACGAUCCCUAGCUGGUCUGAGAGGAUGAACAGCCACACUGGAACUGAGACACGGUCCAGACUCCUACGGGAGGCAGCAGUGGGGAAUAUUGCACAAUGGGCGCAAGCCUGAUGCAGCCAUGCCGCGUGUAUGAAGAAGGCCUUCGGGUUGUAAAGUACUUUCAGCGAGGAGGAAGGCAUUGUGGUUAAUAACCACAGUGAUUGACGUUACUCGCAGAAGAAGCACCGGCUAACUCCGUGCCAGCCGCCGCAGUAA
rnacentral:rRNA from 1 species